rnacentral:rRNA from 1 species
GACGAACGCUGGCGGCGUGCCUAAUACAUGCAAGUCGAACGCAGUGGGGACGGGUGAGUAACACGUGGGUAACCUCCCAUCAGAGGGGAUAACACUUGGCAACAGGUGCUAAACCGAUACUGAUGGAUGAACCCGCGGUGCAUUAGCUAGUUGGUGAGGUAACGGCUCACCAAGGCCACGAUGCAUAGCCUGCCUGGGAGGGUGAUCGGCCAACCUGGGGCUGGGACACGGCCCAAAACCCUACGGGAGGCAGAAGUAGGGAAUCUUCGGCAAUGGACGAAAGUCUGACCGAGCAACGCCGGGUGUAUGAAGAAGGCCUUCGGAUCGGAAAGCUCUGUUGUUAGAGAAGCGGUAACUAACCAGAAAGGGACGGCUAACUACGUGCCAGCCGCCGCGGUAAUUC